rnacentral:miRNA from 1 species
CAGGUUACAUGUGGUACAGCAU